CAUUCACAUAAACCUCCUCAAGCUCAUUGAGAGCUUUACAACUCUUUCUGGAUUAGCCUGAUGGCACAUGGUCAGCCGAGCUAAAGGUGAACGGUGAACCCGAGUGAAAAGCAGACGCUUUGCCCAUCACUUUCCAAAGCAGCAGCCAUGCCAGUGAAAAUAUAGAGUAAUUCAUGCUUUAUACUAAGAUAAAUGACACUGGAAAAGAUGGUCCUGUGCACAUGUUUCCCUCCCAUUGGCUCUGGGUCCAACCCUGCAACCGGCACAACACACACCGUUCCGCAUAAAAGGACGCUUUCACCCCGUCUGUUCCACCUCGUCUGCACACACACGGCUGAGGAGAGACCGGCACAGAGAGAGCCAGUCGCAGGAGACACGCAGAGCAGAGCCUGCAUCAGUUUUGACCAUGAGAGCUUCGCCUCAAGUUUCCUCCACCAGAGGAGUCCAGAAUCCACCAGAUCCACUAUGAGCGAAGCUGUUUGAUCAGUCGAGGACUCAAGCAAAGAAACCAAGAAUUAAGGAACCUGGGUGCAUCACAAUGGUGGUAAUUCAUGAAUCCGAUCUUCUAGGAUUUGAACCUGCAGUCUUUCAGUUACAAAUGGAGAUCUUUAAACACUAAACCUCACCACACCACUCCACAAAACACCUAAUAAAGUUGUUAAAAUGUA
rnacentral:lncRNA from 1 species